rnacentral:siRNA from 1 species
ACAGCUUUGUUCCACCAAUCUGAU